rnacentral:rRNA from 2 species
GAGUUUGAUCUUGGCUCAGAUUGAACGCUGGCGGCAUGCCUUACACAUGCAAGUCGAACGGCAGCACGGGAGCUUGCUCCUGGUGGCGAGUGGCGAACGGGUGAGUAAUGCAUCGGAACGUAUCCUGGAGUGGGGGAUAACGUAGCGAAAGUUACGCUAAUACCGCAUAUUCUGUGAGCAGGAAAGCGGGGGACCUUCGGGCCUCGCGCUCUUGGAGCGGCCGAUGUCGGAUUAGCUAGUUGGUGAGGUAAAGGCUCACCAAGGCGACGAUCCGUAGCAGGUCUGAGAGGAUGAUCUGCCACACUGGAACUGAGACACGGUCCAGACUCCUACGGGAGGCAGCAGUGGGGAAUUUUGGACAAUGGGGGCAACCCUGAUCCAGCCAUGCCGCGUGAGUGAAGAAGGCCUGGUUGUAAG